ensembl:snoRNA
CAGCAUGUUUCCAAGGUCUGUGACUGGUUGUGGCCAUGGGAUCUCCAACCACAUGCCAGAGUAACUGGAGAGAUUUGGACAGCUCAGGCCAGCACAGUGCCUGUAGAUGCCACUCAGUUUUCUUGUAUAU